AGUGAACGCUGGCGGUAGGCCUAACACAUGCAAGUCUAACGGCAGCACAGUAAGAGCUUGCUCUUACGGGUGGCGAGUGGCGGACGGGUGAGGAAUACAUCGGAAUCUACUUUUUCGUGGGGGAUAACGUAGGGAAACUUACGCUAAUACCGCAUACGACCUACGGGUGAAAGCAGGGGAUCUUCGGACCUUGCGCGAUUGAAUGAGCCGAUGUCGGAUUAGCUAGUUGGCGGGGUAAAGGCCCACCAAGGCGAGGAUCCGUAGCUGGUCUGAGAGGAUGAUCAGCCACACUGGAACUGAGACACGGUCCAGACUCCUACGGGAGGCAGCAGUGGGGAAUAUUGGACAAUGGGCGCAAGCCUGAUCCAGCCAUACCGCGUGGGUGAAGAAGGCCUUCGGGUUGUAAAGCCCUUUUGUUGGGAAAGAAAAGCAGCAGGUUAAUACCCCGCUGUUCUGACGGUACCCAAAGAAUAAGCACCGGCUAACUUCGUG
rnacentral:rRNA from 1 species